GAGCAUCGUGCUGUCCAAUGUCGAAAAGAUCAUUUUUAAAUGGCAAAAUCGAGCGUAUAUGUAGAGAUGGUAGAGAUUGUAUUUUCAUAUACCAACUUUUUCUUUCAAAACAAUGACCAAUUGAUCUAUAUCGAUACGGGAAAAAAUAGUGACUGGGAAGAAAGACUGCAUCACUCUCGAAUAUAUGAAAUUUACUUGCCACAAUGAACCUGAAAAGGAUCUAAAAAAGCAAGCACUUUCUCUCGUAACAAACAGAUUCGAUAUUCCAAUGGUGUAUCUAGAAAAAACAUUAAUUGUGAUCAAAAAUGAAAACCAGGCGAAUUGGUUUCUUAAUAAUAUGAAUGAUCGUUAGCUGUCAAUAUGAAUUUGGGUCACUAAUAUAGGCACCGUUGAAGAGGAGCUACAAAAUGAAGCUCUCGAGUUGACGAUCCUACCCUCAGCGUCUUUGCAUCUAUCCCACUGUUCUUGAGUCAAGGGCGCACCUGUUCAAGAUUCAUCAUCAGAAUAGGUACAAUUCUAGUUCUUUUAAUGCAUUGAUUUUUUUUUUUCAAAUUUUACCACGA